GGAUCAGUGGCGAACGGGUGAGUAACACGUGAGCAACCUGCCCUGGACUCUGGGAUAAGCGCUGGAAACGGUGUCUAAUACUGGAUAUGAGCUCUCAUCGCAUGGUGGGGGUUGGAAAGAUUUUUCGGUCUGGGAUGGGCUCGCGGCCUAUCAGCUUGUUGGUGAGGUAAUGGCUCACCAAGGCGUCGACGGGUAGCCGGCCUGAGAGGGUGACCGGCCACACUGGGACUGAGACACGGCCCAGACUCCUACGGGAGGCAGCAGUGGGGAAUAUUGCACAAUGGGCGGAAGCCUGAUGCAGCAACGCCGCGUGAGGGAUGACGGCCUUCGGGUUGUAAACCUCUUUUAGCAGGGAAGAAGCGAGAGUGACGGUACCUGCAGAAAAAGCGCCGGCUAACUACGUGCCAGCAGCCGCGGUAAUACGUAGGGCGCAAGCGUUAUCCGGAAUUAUUGGGCGUAAAGAGCUCGUAGGCGGUUUGUCGCGUCUGCUGUGAAAUCCCGAGGCUCAACCUCGGGCCUGCAGUGGGUACGGGCAGACUAGAGUGCGGUAGGGGAGAUUGGAAUUCCUGGUGUAGCGGUGGAAUGCGCAGAUAUCAGGAGGAACACCGAUGGCGAAGGCAGAUCUCUGGGCCGUAACUGACGCUGAGGAGCGAAAGGGUGGGGAGCAAACAGGCUUAGAUACCCUGGUAGUCCACCCCGUAAACGUUGGGAACUAGUUGUGG
rnacentral:rRNA from 1 species